rnacentral:ncRNA from 2 species
GAAUAUCGUGUAGGCUAAGGUGCGCUAUCUUAAAUAGAUAGUCGCUUAAAAGGGAAAUCGGUUAGAAUCCGAUGCUGUCCCGCAACUGUAUGUUGGAGCAAACUUUAAAAUCCACUGUUAGAUUUGUGAUGGGAAGGAAAAGUAAGCGAUGAUGACAAGCCAGGAGACCUGCCUUAGUUUAGUACACACC